UAUUGAGCUUCUAAAUAUUAUAAUUUCUUUUACACUAAUAAUAAUAUUUAGAAGCUCAAUAGUAAUUUACCAUUCAAUCAUGAAUAAGCAUUAAUCAACUUUAGUAGCCACAUGAGUCAUGACAUGCAAAUUAUACCACUAAAGGCAUGAACGCUUUUUUCAAUACAAACCAAGUAAACAACAACAAAGAUUCGAAAUCUGGAAACACCUGCAUCAUCCACCACAAUCAAACUUUUUUAAUACAAAGAAACUGCAAAAACAACAGAACAGGGUCAUUUCUGUCAUUCCCCUACUUUCCGUUGAGCAUGUCUCUGUAACGCAAGAGCGAAUCCAGCCUCUGCAACCUUAAUUGU
rnacentral:misc_RNA from 1 species